CAAAUGAACUUGAUAUAAAACUGCUUUUAACCUGUAAUUUAAUGUUUUUGUGAGGGAAAUUGCCAAAUCCUCAUUUCACAUAAACAGAUAUAUGAGUCAUUACAGUGAGUGUGUUUAUUGUACACGGCACUUCUUUCCAAAACACACAUGUUUAAACAGAUGGCUUAUGUUGACUAUUAAUGCAGUUCCUGCAAUUAAGUUCAGACUGAACAAAGUAGGCAGAGACUGACAUUCUAUUGACAUCAAAGCCAGUGUAUUGCAUCUUCUUCUUAUGAAUGUUCAAAUUCAGAGCAGCUACUACAGCCUUACUGAAAUGUCAACUGCGAUAAGUCACGAUGUAAAUGAAGAGGAGAGAUAAGGUAGCUGGCAUCUUGCUAAUUUACUUUUUGACUGGGAUUUACUAUAUGCAUAUUUAUGCUGUUACGUUUUAAUGGUGAAAGUCCACGUUUGAGCAAAUUACUGUAAAUAAACAUAGCAGUUAAGAUUCAACUUGUCUCUCCAACCCUAUAGCUGCAGUGGGCUCAAAGCACGUGCAAACUAGUUUCUACCAUACAGGGAGCCCAACAGCAAGGUGAUGGUGUGCUCUUCUUGUUGUGCUGCCAGCAGAAGUGGCCAAAUGGCCCAUGAACAGUUAUGGUGCUGCAUGCAAGGCUGCUAUGCCAGAAACAGAAAUGGCCAUACCUGGUCAACCCCAAGGUUCAUCUAUCACAGUAUUGUGUUGAUGCAGUAUAUUGCAAUAGAGGCUGGCUAAGAAGGAAUGUGAGAGCAGCUCACGUGACGUGGCACAGAUUACACAGCUGAGACUGCUCCAGGGCUUCCUGACCUGCAGCCAGUUUCCUUGUGUUUGAUAGUGCCUAACAGGUUUCUCCUCUAUGAAUUUGUUGCAGGGCUUUUGGAAUUGGUGUAAACAUUCAGUAUGCACAAUUUCCUGUAGCGAAGUGUUUCAUGGAAAAAGUGCUUCACUUUCUUUUGAGCUUGCUAUUAACAUUCUUUGAUGACCUGCUGGUCUUGCACUGGAAUAAGCAGUGAACAAUUGUUCCUUAUUCACUGUCUUCUGUGAUUUUUUAAAGUUUAUUCUAUCAUCCGUUGUGUUUUCCAGGCUGAGGAGCUCUAUACUAUUUUUGAUAAACUUGUGCAGCAGGUAGUGCUAUGGCCCUGCAGUUGGAGUCUCAUGGCUACAGUUCAAUGAAUGGAAUCUCCAGCCCCAUGUGACCUGUUCAGCAGUUGCUGUUUGUAACUUCUGGAAUGAUAUAUGAGAACAGGUAUGGCUAGGCUUAAUGAAGUGAAGUGGCUGUUUAAAACAGUUCAACAAGCAUUUCAUAUCUAUUAGGUACUGCUUACCUUUUCCUCCUUCCUUGGUAUUCUCUUAAACCAAAUUUCAUCUCCUGCUUCUUGUAUUCUUCUUCAUUCAAAUUUAGUGGUGGAAAAAAACAACAACAUGCAUUUCAUUUAUGUCUUUAGAUAGAGAUAUUUUUAAAUGCCUUUUGUAUUCAGUAGUAACUUUCUAAACCGGCUUGCAUGAGAACAGCUUUGUUACAGCACAAAGCAGGGUAGUAGUUAGGUUACUUUGUCCUCUGCUCCACCAGAAGCUGUGACACAAGUUCUUGGAAGAUCUCCAAGUGUCACUGCAUGAUGCUGGACAAGGCUGAAGCUGAAGCAGAACAAGGUCCCUUUUAUUGCCCAAGUCUGGCACAUCUUCAGCGUUUCAGGGCUGGUGCUGCACAGUGGAACACUGCCUCCCUGCUGAAAUACCACCAGCUGUUGGAGAAGAGAGAUCAUUUUCAGUCAUACUAAUGCAAGUAGCCAGAGAGCCAUAUUCAACAAUCUAAUUAAGGCUGAACAAGGGGAGAAACUUGAUACCUUACAACCUAAAAAACAACUAAUCGUCCCUCUUUCUGUGGUCAUUGCUGGAAAUAAAACAAAACAAAACAAAAAAUAAAAAAAAAACCAACACAGACAAAAAAACAAAACCCACAGCACUUCUGGGAAAGACCCAG